AGAACAUUACUAUAUUACUGUUCCGCCCUCAUAUGAAGACCUCGAGGAUGAGAAAUAACAACCUUUCCCUCCUCCUGCAUCCCCGCUUUGUGCAAAGUUACUAAGGAAACGGACAACCGCAUCCGGCAAAAGGGAGCCUGAAGGAAAAGGGGAAAGACAGGAACAGGAGAAUUUGAACAAAUGCAGUCACAGACUGGAAACAGAGACGUACAAUGCACAGAAGAUUUCAGACGAGAAGGUCUGUGGCUUCCUCCUCUCACACAUGGAAGAAGAGCCCAUGACUACAUGGAGAGAACUUCCGGCUGAUAUGGACGUUGAGAAGUUAGUAGCAAACUAAUGAAUGGGUUCGCUUUCACUACAGGGCAGCGUUCCUUGUAACAGAGCAGUACAUUCCAUCAAAGACAGUUAACUUGUAGGCCAGAUUGUAGAAAAUUAAAUGACCUCCAUACUGGGCUUAUAAUACAGUUACAGAUACUAAAUUGCAAUUUGUGACUUAGAAGUUUGCCAUUUGGUUGCUCAUACCUGAAUGGUUUUAGUGCACAUAACAAUUGUAAGAGACACUGCCGCCACCUACAGGUACUUUUAAUAAUUACGCA
rnacentral:lncRNA from 1 species